AUUGAAUACAAUUUAGACAUAAAUACAAUUUGAUAAUUGAAACUUCAGAAAAACUAAUGUAUGUCAGUUAACUUUCAGUGUGGAAGUGUUGGGUAAUAAAGUUUAAAGGAGAUGAAAUAUUAAAGAUUUGGUUUCAUAAUAUUAAUAAGUAUUUUGUGACGUGUCAAAAAAACAGCGAAAGAUAAAGUGAAGGCUCUGAAAUAGUAGCGGCUCGGAUAAUGACGUUUACAAUGAAAUUGCAACGGAAUCAGCAUGCCAAGAAAAAGAGGAAGAGGACAAUAAUCAAUCAUCUGUUUUUAACACAAUUGAUCCCGAAUUCAAUAUUUUCAUGAUUUUUUAA